rnacentral:rRNA from 1 species
UGGGGAAUAUUGGACAAUGGGGGCAACCCUGAUCCAGCCAUGCCGCGUGUGUGAAGAAGGCCUUUUGGUUGUAAAGCACUUUAAGCAGGGAGGAGAGGCUAAUGGUUAAUACCCAUUAGAUUAGACGUUACCUGCAGAAUAAGCACCGGCUAACUCUGUGCCAGCAGCCGCGGUAAUACAGAGGGUGCGAGCGUUAAUCGGAAUUACUGGGCGUAAAGCGAGUGUAGGUGGCUCAUUAAGUCACAUGUGAAAUCCCCGGGCUUAACCUGGGAACUGCAUGUGAUACUGGUGGUGCUAGAAUAUGUGAGGGGGAAGUAGAAUUCCAGGUGUAGCGGUGAAAUGCGUAGAGAUCUGGAGGAAUACCGAUGGCGAAGGCAGCUUCCUGGCAUAAUAUUGACACUGAGAUUCGAAGCGUGGGUAGCAAACAGGAUUAGAUACCCUGGUAGUCCACGCCGUAAACGAUGUCUACUAGCCGUUGGGGUCCUUGAGACUUUAGUGGCGCAGUUAACGCGAUAAGU